UUGAAAUUUAUUCUUUGAUUUAUUAUUGAAGGGGAUGUAAUUCUCCAAAAUACAGUCAGAGAAGGUCUAGACAUCCUGGGUAGGACUUAUACCUUCUCAGAAGAAAAUCUAUUUUAGUGGAGAGUAGCUGCACAAAUACUGUUUGUUAUCUCCUGGAAAAGCUGCUAGGUUUUCUUUAACAUUUAGAAACACUGUGUACCUAGUGUAUAAAGUUUUUGUAAAGCCACUCAUUUGGUAACAGUAGCUGUAUUAAACAGAUUUGUUUCUGAUCUCCAUUAGCAUUAACUUCAACCAAGAUGCUUCUCUCAUCUGUGUGUCCAGUGACCAUGCCACAGUUCACAUAUUUGCUGCUGAGGAUCCUAAAAGGAACAAACAGUCAAGCUUAGCGUCAGCCAGUUUCCUGCCCAAGUAUUUCAGUUCCAAGUGGAGUUUCUCCAAAUUUCAGGUUCCCUCUGGCUCUCCCUGCAUCUGUGCCUUUGGAACAGAACCAAAUUCUGUCCUAGCAAUCUGUGCAGAUGGCAGCUACUACAAAUUUUUAUUCAAUCAAAAAGGGGAAUGUGCCAGGGACGUCUAUGCUCAGUUCCUAGAAAUGACUGAUGACAAACUUUGACUGGACAGACAUCUAUAGCAGGGGAAAGAUACUGGACCCCCUCCUGAUUAUUCUCCCCCUCCUCCUCAAGAAACAGCCUCUGACUAUCAUAGCACUCAAGAGUGCUGCUCAAGAUGGGACCGAUAUCCUCAAGAAGCCCAAGCCAGCAUGAUAUGGAGUAAGCCACAAGGCAGAGAACUGAUAUGUUAACUAUCAACAGCUGGUGUUACAUGUUAGAUUUGGCUGCUGCUGUUACUUCAAUUUUCGUAAAGGUUCUGUAGCCUGUGACAUCUGAGGUUUUCUCCGUAGUUGACGAACAAAGCUUAGCGCCUGCCACACAGUAAGGACUGACUCCUCAAAAAGAGGUCAAAAUUGAGGUUCUAAUGACGUGGUUUGAGAUGGUGAGAGCGACUUGUCAGACAAGUUGGAACAUUUAUACCAGCAGCUUCUGCCUCUACAGGUCUUGUUUCCUCCUAAAUACAAGAAACUAAUCGGCAAGUGUUUUGAGUUCUUGCUCACCAUAGAUAAGAAUGCUCAAAUGCUCAUUUCCAUACUAUUAUGAAUAGAUAUUAACUUCAUAAUGUCAUUUGUUAGAGGUGCCAAAAUAAAUAUCCCAAAACAUAAUUAUUGUUGAUCCCAAUAGCCAUUUGUAGGGCAAGAAGUAAGUGGCAUAAAACAAUGCUGAAGAGUUGUGAAACCGACAGCGUGGCUGGAAAUAACCCUCCCUCCAGUGGAACCUUACUCCAUUAAUGUUGGCAUUUAAUGUUGUGUAAGAGGCUGUUGACAACAAUCCAAUGGGCAUCAAAUGUUUUUGUAUUUCUAUAGCUCUACGUUGUCCCUCACAAUUUCACAGCAGCCCUACCAUAUGUUGACAAUAACCUAAGCUGGUGCCUAUAAGAGUAGAAACGAUAAAAGCCAGGACACAUUUGUAUUUCAAAUGUUUUGGAAAAGGAUGUAUGUAGACACUUAAUUUGAAAUCACUGUCAUCUCCCCUUGAAGCACAAAUUCAGUUACCUCUUUUCUUAGUUUUACACAUGCUUCAAAAUUAACUGAAGUCUUAGUUCAUCAAGUUGUAAGGUAUUGGAAUUUGUCAUUUAACUAAAGCAUAUAUUCAACUGUCAAUUUGCAUGUUGCUUUUCAGUGUAUAUUUAAUCAUGGAAAUUGUUUUGCACAUCUUUUGUAAUAUUCUUUAAUUAAAAGUGACUAAUUUACUGUA